UACGUAGGGUGCAAGCGUUAAUCGGAAUUACUGGGCGUAAAGCGCACGUAGGCGGCUUGGUAUGUCGGGUGUGAAAUCCCCGGGCUCAACCUGGGAACUGCAUCCGAAACUGCCUUGCUCGAGUAUGGGAGAGGGAAGUGGAAUUUCCGGUGUAGCGGUGAAAUGCGUAGAUAUCGGAAGGAACAUCAGUGGCGAAGGCGACUUCCUGGACCAAUACUGACGCUCAGGUGCGAAAGCGUGGGGAGCAAACAGG
rnacentral:rRNA from 1 species